rnacentral:rRNA from 1 species
CAGCAGCCGCGGUAAUACGUAGGUGGCAAGCGUUGUCCGGAAUUAUUGGGCGUAAAGGGCUCGCAGGCGGUUUCUUAAGUCUGAUGUGAAAGCCCCCGGCUCAACCGGGGAGGGUCAUUGGAAACUGGGAAACUUGAGUGCAGAAGAGGAGAGUGGAAUUCCACGUGUAGCGGUGAAAUGCGUAGAGAUGUGGAGGAACACCAGUGGCGAAGGCGACUCUCUGGUCUGUAACUGACGCUGAGGAGCGAAAGCGUGGGGAGCGAACAGGAUUAGAUACCCCAGUAGUCCCUGUCUCUUAUCC